UGACCGCUGGCGGCAGGCCUAACACAUGCACAUCGAACGGUAACAGGAAGCAGCUUGCUGCUUUGCUGACGAGUGGCGGACGGGUGAGUAAUGUCUGGGAAACUGCCUGAUGGAGGGGGAUAACUACUGGAAACGGUAGCUAAUACCGCAUAACGUCGCAAGACCAAAGAGGGGGACCUUCGGGCCUCUUGCCAUCGGAUGUGCCCAGAUGGGAUUAGCUAGUAGGUGGGGUAACGGCUCACCUAGGCGACGAUCCCUAGCUGGUCUGAGAGGAUGACCAGCCACACUGGAACUGAGACACGGUCCAGACUCCUACGGGAGGCAGCAGUGGGGAAUAUUGCACAAUGGGCGCAAGCCUGAUGCAGCCAUGCCGCGUGUAUGAAGAAGGCCUUCGGGUUGUAAAGUACUUUCAGCGGGGAGGAAGGGAGUAAAGUUAAUACCUUUGCUCAUUGACGUUACCCGCAGAAGAAGCACCGGCUAACUCCGUG
rnacentral:rRNA from 1 species